UCGGGGUAUUCCACAAAAAAUUACCCUGCGGGAUGAAAUGGAAUAUUUCAUCCCUCAGGGUAAUUUUUUGUGGAAUACCCCU